AUUUGAAUCCAUACGAGUUUUAAGUUAUAUUUUGGCUGUUUCUCUGCAGAUUGCCUUAUUAUAUUGGAAUGCCAAUGCAAUUUUCAUAGAAAGUACUGAAGGUAUAUCAUCCGCCAUAUUUAAUGGAGACUGGUAUUUAUUAAAUGUAAGGUCUCAAAAAGAUUUGCUGAUGAUGAUGAUGAGAACAAAUAUUCCUUCAAGAAUAAGCAUUGGACCUUUUUCUACAGUAACCCUUCGAGCUGCUUUACAAAUAUUAAAAUCUAUUUAUUCAUAUGUAGCAGUCAUUUAUCAAAAAUAGAAGAUGACGAAAAAGUUUUGCACCAGAUAAUGUCUAUCUAAAUACAUAAAUGGACACAUAAAUAACACUAAUGAUUGUAAUAAUAUUAAAUGCAUAAAUAAAGGCAUAUUGUUAAUAA